UAGGGAAUCUUCCACAAUGGACGAAAGUCUGAUGGAGCAACGCCGCGUGAGUGAAGAAGGGUUUCGGCUCGUAAAACUCUGUUGUUAAAGAAGAACAUAUCUGAGAGUAACUGUUCAGGUAUUGACGGUAUUCAACCAGAAAGCCACGGCUAACUACGUACCAG
rnacentral:rRNA from 1 species